GAUGAACGCUGGCGGCGUGCCUAACACAUGCAAGUCGAACGAAGCACAUACGACGGAACUCUUCGGAGGGAAGAUGUAUGUGACUGAGUGGCGGACGGGUGAGUAACGCGUGGGUAACCUGCCCUAUACAGGGGGACAACAGUUGGAAACGACUGCUAAUACCGCAUAAGCGCACAGUACCGCAUGGUACAGAGCGAAAAACUACCGGUGGUAUAGGAUGGACCCGCGUCUGAUUAGUUAGUUGGCGGUGUAACGGACCACCAAGACGACGAUCAGUAGCCGGCUUGAGAGAGUGAACGGCCACAUUGGGACUGAGACACGGCCCAAACUCCUACGGGAGGCAGCAGUGGGGAAUAUUGCACAAUGGGGGAAACCCUGAUGCAGCGACGCCGCGUGAGCGAAGAAGUAUUUCGGUAUGUAAAGCUCUAUCAGCAGGGAAGAAGAAUGACGGUACCUGACUAAGAAGCACCGGCUAAAAUACGUAGCCAGCAGCCGG
rnacentral:rRNA from 1 species